rnacentral:rRNA from 1 species
GACAGAGGGUGCAAACGUUGCUCGGAAUUACUGGGCGUAAAGGGCGUGUAGGCGGGAAGGCAAGUCGGGCGUGAAAGCCCCAGGCUCAACCUGGGAACUGCACUCGAAACUGCCUUUCUUGAGUGCCGGAGAGGAAAGCGGAAUUCCUGGUGUAGAGGUGAAAUUCGUAGAUAUCGAGGAGGAACACCAGUGGCGAAGGCGGCUUUCUGGACGGUAACUGACGCUGAGACGCGAAAGCGUGGGAGCA